GCAGUAACGAAUAUUCCGCAAUGCGCGAAAGCGUGACGGAGCAAUGCCGCGUGCAGGAUGAAGCGGUUCUGCCGUGUAAACUGCUGUCAGAAUCUAGGAAGAACUGACCAGAUUCAGAGGAAGGGCCGGCUAAUCUCGUGCCAGCAGCCGCGGUAAGACGAGAGGCCCGAGCGUUAAUCGGAAUCACUGGGCUUAAAGGGUGCGUAGGCUGAUAUGUAGGUGUGUUGUGAAAUCCCUCGGCUCAACCGAGGAACUGCAAUGCAAACCACAUAUCUUG
rnacentral:rRNA from 1 species